ACAACGCGGACUUCUCCUGUCCAACCAAGGCGGGGGAAAUCUCACAGACAGCAGCAGGACACAGCCUGCACACCAAGCUCGGGAGGAGCUGGGCAGACUCCGUUUAUACAGGAGUGAAGAAGAAAUCAAAAUAUUCUCAGAUGAAGAAAAGCAGAGAAUUUGUCAUCAGGAGACCUGCCCUAAAAGAAUGGCCCUAAUGGAAGUUCCUAAAAAAAGAGAAGACACUGAAAACAAAAAACAAAAAAAAAAACUUGAAGUAUUAUAAAAGUAUCAUAAAGAAAGAGGAGCAUAGUAAGCAAAAAUCUACUUGCCUUCAAAAGAAGGAGGAAGAGUAGGAGGAGGAAGAGCUGCAAGAGGUGCUGUGUCACCUCUGAAAGCACCACCCUGGAGGCCCCGUGAUUUAUAAGGACAGUAGUUAAUAGUUUCUGUCAUCAGAGAGGUCAGUGUGUUCUGUUCCCAUAUUGUUCAGUUCAAUAGGCCUAUUACUUGGAAAUCAAGACGCAUUAUACCUAUGAUUACAAACAUGUCUGGGGAUGAUGACAUUGUAGAUAACUCUCCAACCACAAAGUGCAAGAAAGUUUCCCAAGCUAGAGUUUUUUCAUUAAAUGUGCACAUUUAUUUGCAUUUA
ensembl:lncRNA novel transcript